rnacentral:tRNA from 1 species
GGCUCGGUUAGCUCAGUCGGGAGAGCGCUCGCCCUGUCAGCGAGAUGUCCCGGUUCGAGUCCAGGACUGGCCA